rnacentral:rRNA from 1 species
UACGUAGGGGGCGAGCGUUGUCCGGAAUUACUGGGCGUAAAGGGUGCGUAGGCGGCGCAUUAAGUUAGAUGUGAAAUACCCGGGCUUAACCCGGGGGGUGCAUUUAAAACUGGUGCGCUUUGAGUGCAGGAGAGGGAAGCGGAAUUCCUAGUGUAGCGGUGAAAUGCGUAGAUAUUAGGAGGAACACCAGUGGCGAAGGCGGCUUUCUGGACUGCAACUGACGCUGAGGCACGAAAGCGUGGGGA